rnacentral:sRNA from 1 species
AGUGAAAAAGGAUGUAAAACUUGACUUUUAAAUUCAAUACUGAGACAUUUAAAUAUAUAAAGGUUGACGGUUGCUGCUCUCCAUUUAACGAGAACACAUCGAGAGUGCAAGCUGCUAGAAAGGAAGCGAUCAUGCAUUACAAAAAAGCAUAUGGAGAAAAUGGCGUGCGAUUUAACCUAUGGGGAUGUUAGUUCUUUGAUGAGUGAUACAUUCACAUUAGCGGAAGCUUCAUCUUUGACUUCCGGACCCCUUCAACCGUAUGUCUCCUGCUUGCCAGAAAUUCAGCCGCCUUAAUGCAAUAUCUUUGUGCAUUCUUAAAAAAGAUGAGGCAGUGUUACACUUCCGAUCUCGAUUUGGGAGUGAAGAGACAUCAUGCAUUCAGUGUAGAAGAAAUGUACAUUGAUCUAAACAUGAUAGAUAUAUUUAUUCAUAUAGUUGUGUGUAUAUCAUGCAUGUAAAUAACUUUAUGUUGAAUAUUUUAUUGGUGUUCUACGUUGUAUCUCAAGUGUAAACAAGGGCACCGCAAAGCGGAGCAUCCCCUCGCGAAAUGAAAAUACUGUGCGGGGAAAUGCAUUAAUUAAGAAAUAAACAUGUAAUUGAAGAGACAAAAUAUUUAACUUGUUGAAAAUCAUUUGAAUUAAAUUGUUUAUUCCUAUCCCCAUGCACGCUCUGUGUGUAUCCAUUGGGGAUGGGUGCAUUUACGUGGUUGUACAAUUGCUCCCAUUACUAGGGAAAACACACCACAAACGUGUUUAACUUUAGUAAUAUAGUUUAAUAAAUUCUCUUUAUCCAGCGACAUGCAUUACGCAUGUAGACAAUUAGUGUAGGCAAAUUUCAGUUUCAUAUUGAAAAGGAAACGUAGCUAAGAUCUGGCGAUUUAUAGUCUGCUCUAUGUGAAAAUUCGAGUUACAUGUAACAUAUCGUUAUUUUAACCCCAAUAUUUUAAAAAGAGUAAAAUAUCAUCAGCAAUUAACAUGACAUGAAUCCCCGGUUAAUCAUGUUAACGAUAUUUGUCAAAGUGUAAAUUAUGAUCCUGUUCUUCUCUAAGUAAUUCGUUAAAUAAAGCCCGAAAUUUAGUUCAUACGGCUGCUUGUUUAGAUUAAAUUAGUCUCCUGCUUGCUUUAGUUUUUCACGUUGGACAUCCUUUUAACUCCCCAUUUCUCAAAAAUAUAAAAUUUUGCUUUUUACCUUUAAGGGGCUUACAUCCAACAAUAUAUUGAGUUGUUGAUUUGAAAUGUUUACUUUCACGAACCGGGAGUCGUACAUAAAUUUCUUAGUGUUGUAAUGUUAACGAUAUCUUAAAAAUAUAUAAUGGAAUUCCUUGAAAAUAAAUAGGCUUUGUCCUUAAAACUUAUGAAGUGUACGAAGUUUGAUACACAUGCAUCGAGGGUUUUCUUUAAAUUUUGCUAAAAAGGCUGAAAUGGACACACACACACACACAUACAUACAUGCAUACAUACAUACACACACUCGCACAGCAGCGAUGCUAUAUCCCCCUCGCAACAAGUUGCGCGAGGGGAUAAUAAUUCCCCUUGUACCAGUCCUUUUUAAAUAUGGGAGCAUGAGGGUAGGUUCCACCUCACGUUCCUGGGUGCAAGAUUUAUUUUGAAGCUGAUGCUUUCAUAUAUCUUAUUAAUGUUAAUUAAUAAUGUAUUUAAUUUAGCUAGUUAUUUGUACGAUAUUCCCUUUUCUGCUUAUUAUUGAAAUGUGAAAAUAAAAUGUCAUUCUUAAUU